GAUCGUAGGCUCGAAUGUGGUAC
rnacentral:piRNA from 1 species